CGAAGAGUUCUUGGUGUUUU
rnacentral:miRNA from 1 species